rnacentral:rRNA from 1 species
UACAGAGGUCUCAAGCGUUGUUCGGAUUCAUUGGGCGUAAAGGGUGUGUAGGUGGCGCGCUAAGUCGGGUGUGAAAUUUCGGAGCUUAACUCCGAAACUGCAUUCGAUACUGGCGUGCUUGAGGACUGGAGAGGAGACUGGAAUUUACGGUGUAGCAGUGAAAUGCGUAGAUAUCGUAAGGAAGACCAGUGGCGAAGGCGGGUCUCUGGGCCAAAACUGACGCUGAGGAGCGAAAGCGUGGGGAGCAAACAGG